rnacentral:rRNA from 1 species
CCCUUAGAUGUUCUGGGCUGCACGCGCGCGACAAUGACGUUUGCAACGAGAUUGCGAGGCCGUCAGGUCGAGCUGAUCUUGCAAGCUGCGUCGUGAUAGGGACAGUCGAUUGCAAUUAUUCGACUCGAACGAGGAAUUCCUUGUAAUCGCGCAUCAUCAGUGCGCGCUGAAUACGUCCCUGCCCUUUGUACACACCGCCCGUCGCUCCUACCGAUUGGGUGUGCUGGUGAAAUGUUCGGAUCGGCCGUUUGUCGCGGUUUCCGCGUCAUGUGGCUGAGAAGUUCAUUAAACCCUCCCACCUAGAGGAAGGAGAAGUCGUAACA